rnacentral:rRNA from 1 species
GAUGAACGCUAGCUACAGGCUUAACACAUGCAAGUCGAGGGGUAACGAGAGGGAAGCUUGCUUUCCUUGUCGACGACCGGCGCACGGGUGAGUAACGCGUAUCCAACCUGCCCCCAACUAGGGAAUAACCUUGCGAAAGUAAGACUAAUACCCUAUAAUUUCCUCAGAUGUCAUCUGACGAGGAAUAAAGAUUUAUCGGUUGUGGAUGGGGAUGCGUCUGAUUAGCUUGUUGGCGGGGUAACGGCCCACCAAGGCAACGAUCAGUAGGGGUUCUGAGAGGAAGGUCCCCAACAGUGGAACUGAGACACGGUCCAAACUCCUACGGGAGGCAGCAGUGAGGAAUAUUGGUCAGUGGGCGGAAGCCUGAACCAGCCAAGUAGCGUGCAGGAUGACGGCUCUAUGGGUUGUAAACUGCUUUUAUACAGGAAUAAAGUUAGCCACGUGUGGUUAUUUGUAGGUACUGUAUGAAUAAGGACCGGCUAAUUCCGUGCCAGCAGCAGCCGCCG